AGGGGACGAACAGUUGGAAACGACUGCUAAUACCGCAUACGAUCUAACCUCGGCAUCGAGGAUGGAUGAAAGGUGGCCUCUAUUUAUAAGCUAUCACUGAAGGAGGGGAUUGCGUCUGAUUAGCUAGUUGGAGGGGUAACGGCCCACCAAGGCGAUGAUCAGUAGCCGGUCUGAGAGGAUGAACGGCCACAUUGGGACUGAGACACGGCCCAG
rnacentral:rRNA from 1 species